rnacentral:misc_RNA from 1 species
GAUGGUAGAUGUUCCAGUAGAGUCGGAACUUGUGGUCUGGCUUUGGCCUCAAUAGCAAAGCGAAAACCUGAAGGGUUCCAAGGCAGAAGAGAGUGAUUCCAAUGUUUCUGUGAGUGUCGUAUCUAAUUCCAACAGAAUCACUACCAAGUUUGAGACCAGUGCCCCAUCCAGCAACACCAACAGCAUAAGCAACAGUCUGACAACCAGCAUGUAGAUAAAACCAAGCUGGAUUAGCUAACUUGAACACUUUCAAAUACCUUGCAAAUAUAGCACCCAUUGGCAUCAAAACACCCCAACUAACUGCAUUCAACACUCCAUGGAUAUUUCUUCGUCGUUGUCUAGCACUAGCGGAUAUACCUCCACCAUCAGCUGAGGUCUGUCCACUUGCAAAGUCCACAGUUCCAACACUCCUUAGAUUAUCACCACUUGUUCGAUGUACUUGUAGAGCUUGUCCAGAAACUGCACCAUUUUGCCACACCUGAGUAAAACUAGACCUACCAGUAGGAAGCUCUAAAGUAGCAAAGAUAAUCAUCUCACUCCCAACAAACUCAGCUGAAAUUCUAGGCACACCAAAACUCAAAGCACCCUCUGACAAGUCAGUACUGUAACCAGCAAUAGGUGAAGUGUAAGCAUGAAUUUGUCCACUAGAAUUUCUAAAAGCAAUUAAACUUUGACAUCCAGCCAUUCCUGUACCAACAGGAUUCAAAGCCCAAGCUACCCAAGAAGAUUCAGUAACACCGCCAUGUCUAUAAGCAAGAUCUACUGUGUGAUUAUCAGGGUAAUAAGUCCAGUGAAGAAAAGAGUUGAGAACAGGGAGAGGGUUACAAGUGGAAAAAAUAUUGUUGUUUGUGAAUUGAUGAGUUGAACAAUUUUGACCAUAUGAAAAAGUAAAUAGAGUUAACAAGAUUGAUGAAAACAACACCAAAUUACUUGUUAAGAGCUUACUAUCCAUUUUUUUUUUUUUGAUUAUCAAGAUUGGAUUUUUAUUUUCCCCCUUUUCUUGAUUCUACAAAAACCAAAUGGUUCAAGAAUUGUUU